rnacentral:misc_RNA from 1 species
GAUGAAGAACGCAGCGAAAUGCGAUAAGUAGUGUGAAUUGCAGAAUUCAGUGAAUCAUCGAAUCUUUGAACGCACAUUGCGCCCCUUGGUAUCCCGAGGGGCAUGCCUGUUCGAGCGUCAUUUCACCACUCAAGCCUGGCUUGGUGUUGGGCGACGUCCCCUUUGGGGACGCGCCUCGAAACGCUCGGCGGCGUGGCACCGGCUUUAAGCGUAGCAGAAUCUUUCGCUUUGGAAGUCGGGGCCCCGUCUGCCGGAAGACCUACUCGCAAGGUUGACCUCGGAUCAGGCAGGGAUACCCGCUAAACUUAAGCAUAUCAAUAAGCGGAGGA